ACACCUGUGGUGAAGUGGUUAUCAUGCUUGCCUUCCACUUUGAACACUAAAUUCGGAGCGCAGCAAGCGGCACGGGUUCGAUUCCCGUCGGGUGUA
rnacentral:tRNA from 1 species